rfam:Haemophilus somnus 129PT, complete genome.
UCCUUGAUAUACUGUUUGAGUAUCCUGAAACGGGCUUUUCAAGAUCAGUAUAUCAAAUUUAAUCAAUAAAAUAAUAGGAGUGCAUAGUGGCCCGUAUUGCAGGCAUUAACAUUCCUGAU